UGGUAGUUAGCAGAAGCCUCUGGAAAGUGGCACCAUAGCGGGUGACAGUCCCGUAUGCGAAAGCAAUCAACAAGGACUCGAGUAGGGCGGGACACGUGUAAUCCUGUCUGAACAUGGGGGGACCACCCUCCAAGCCUAAAUACUCGUGUAUGACCGAUAGUGAACUAGUACCGUGAGGGAAAGGUGAAAAGCACCCCGAUGAGGGGAGUGAAACAGUACCUGAAACCGGUUGCCUACAAGCAGUGGGAGGAUCCUUGAGAUCUGACCGCGUACCUCUUGCAUAAUGGGUCAGUGACUUAAUGUAUCAAGCAAGCUUAAGCCGUUAGGUGUAGGCGCAGCGAAAGCGAGUCUGAAUAGGGCGAUUGAGUUUGAUGCAUUAGACCCGAAACCCGGCGAUCUAGGCAUGACCAGGGUGAAGGUGAGGUAACACUCACUGGAGG
rnacentral:rRNA from 11 species